CUUUCGAGUAAUCAGAAAGCGAGUCUCACGCCAUUAGUCUAUACACGAGCAACCUCCAUUGGGCGCAUGUUUAUCCAAUCCCUUCUAGCGCUAUGGUAUUUUGUUGGUUUAUUGCCUAACAAUCGAAAAUAUUCUUCAUCUCUUCCAUAAUUUCAAUGAAUUCAGCCGUUUCUGGAGGUGCUUUGAGUGGAACGAGAAGGUAAAUUGGAUUGGAUUGGAUUGGAUUGGAUGUUCUUGUGGUGAGUGUUAAAAUUUAUGCGAGUUUUCUCCUAUAUCGUUAAUCAACUUUCACUCGUUUUGAAGAAAAAAUUGGCGAUUUCGGACAUUUCAUAGCUUUGAUCGGUGCGUUGUUCUAAUUGGUUAUCUUCCUUCUGAUUUAAUUAGGGCUUCGAAGACAAUAUACCGCUGUAGUUCAAUUAUUUAUAUUUGCAGUUAGAAUGUUUAGAUUAUGAACAAGUUUUCUUCCAUAUCAAGGUAUGUUUUUCCUAUGUCAGGCCAUUGUAGAAGGAUUGCAGGAAAAUGGUAAGUUGUGACUGGAAGAGUGGAGUGGAGCGUCUUACAUUUGCUCUGUGCUGUAGUUUUCCCCACUAGACAAAAUAAUUCGUGGCAAUAGUCUUCCUUGAACAUUUCUUUUGUUGAUUUAACUUGGACAUCCAUUUUCUUUGUGAUUUCAACUCAUCUUGUCUGCCUAUUAGAAACAUGAACUUUUGUUUGGAUUUGAAAUAAACUGCUCAUUCUCUUUGGACUGGAAAGGUUACUUUUAAGAACAAAUGAAGAUUCUUUGGGCUAUUACGACGAUAAAUCAACUGAAAAUAACUUGAAGUUUUUCUAUUGAAUCAUGGUCCUCUUUGGACUUUCUCUUUUGGGCUUCCCUAAAGGUUUUUAAAACAUGUCUACUAGGGAGAGUUUUCUACACCCUUUAUAAAGAAUGUUCCGUUCUCUCCCAACCGAUGUGGAUCUCACAAUCCACCGUCUUUCGGGGCCUAACGUCUUUAUUGACACUCGUUCCCUUCUCCAAUUGAUGUGAGACCCCCAAUUCACCCUCUUCAGGACCUAACGUCCUUGCAGGCACAUCACUGGUUCAGCCUCCUCGCUGGCACAUCGCUUGAUGUCUAGCUCUGAUAUCAUUUGUGAAGGCCCAAGCCCGCCACUACCAGAUAUUGUUCUCUUUGUGCUUUCCCUCAAGGUUUUUAAAACGCACCUACUAGGAAGAGGUUUUCACACCCUUAUAAAGAAUGUUUCGUUCUCCUCCCCAAUCAAUGUGGGAUUUUACAAAGGUCAUUCCCAACCUGGAUGUAAUUACACAAGACUUUUGGUUCUCUUGUUUGUUUAUUCUGAAAUGGAAACUCCUCCAUGAUUUGCUUCGUCUCUUAGCAUUAUUCUGCAUUUCUGGUCACCAUGUUUUUCACUACUUGAUGUCGUAGUUGUAAUUUUAACCUACAAGCUUUGUCAUUUUAUUGAAUAUUGGAUAAGGCAUCUGGAUACAUCAACUAAGAGAACUAAAAGUUUCUUGGCCUGGUUUUGGGGAAUCAAAAAAGGAAACAAAAAUGGUCCUUUUAUAUGUGUCUGUGACAGUCAUCACCCCCUUGUCAUAGCAGUUGGCAAUAAGCCUCCAUUCUUCAAAAAAUUGCUUAGCUGCUUACCUUGGUGAUAUGUAUGGGAUCAAUAUAUGGCAAAAAGAAAGUGCAUUGCACAAAAGUUCGAAGUGGGGGAUCUCAAUCGGCUCUCACCUUCAGUAGUUCCUUACCUCUACCUUACAGACAAGGGCCUUCAGCUACGGCAAUCACUUCAAACCUUCCACGUAAAGUGACAUGCCUUAGAUUUUUAUCUAUCUCAAUCUGUCUUCUUCUACUUUGUCUUCUAUGCUCAACAGAAUUACAUUGGAAAAAAAGGUAUGAUACUACAUUAUUUUUGUGAAUGGCUUCAUUGGCUGUUAGUGCUAUACAGCGUUGUAUUUGUGACUUUAGUUGUCGACUGCAAAUUGAUAAUUGUAAUACUUGUUGCCUACUGCACAUUGAGCUGCCUAUGUGAUUCAUGACCGUGGGAUCUUGUGCAACUUACAUUUCUUCACAACAUGUUGAAUUAAUUAGAUGUACAUUAAGAGGGUGUUCGGGUUACAGGGUGGUUUUGUUCGGCGUACGAUGGAGAGGUAAGCCUAUAUAUGAUAUGUUGGCCUAUUUAUCAUAUAUUAUAAAUUUGUUAAUCUUACAGGCUAUAUAUACUCGGGAGUCAGGUAUCGACUAUUCACUAGUUUUUUCACUUCACCACUCUGGUCGUCUCUCAUCUGUGAGCCAAGUAGAUGUAUGCAUUAGACAGACAUCCACAACAUGUAUGCCAAAAUCAAGUUGCCCGAGGAAGCUGCUUGGAAAGCAAACAUGUACACCAUGUAACCAAUUAUUCACUCUCAUCAGCUCCAUUUUUUAAAAGGAUAUUACAGCUUUCAAAUAAAAGCUUAUAUUUAUUUAUUGCAUUUGAAAUGACGGAAAGAGUCGAUCUUUGAUCUCUUGAUCGAAGCUAUAUAUUUAAACAAGUUGAACUAUGUUCAGGUUGACAAAACUUACAUAGUUGUUUGAACAAUCUUUAUACACGGCUUAGUAGGA